rnacentral:rRNA from 1 species
CCUACGGGGGGCUGCAGUGGGGAAUAUUGGACAAUGGGGGGAACCCUGAUCCAGCCAUGCCGCGUGUGUGAAGAAGGCCCCCGGGUUGUAAAGCACUUUCAGUGAGGAAGAACGCCUGGUGGUUAAUACCCAUCAGGAAAGACAUCACUCACAGAAGAAGCACCGGCUAACUCCGUGCCAGCAGCCGCGGUAAUACGGAGGGUGCGAGCGUUAAUCGGAAUUACUGGGCGUAAAGCGCGCGUAGGUGGCUUGAUAAGCCGGUUGUGAAAGCCCCGGGCUCAACCUGGGAACGGCAUCCGGAACUGUCAAGCUAGAGUGCAGGAGAGGAAGGUAGAAUUCCCGGUGUAGCGGUGAAAUGCGUAGAGAUCGGGAGGAAUACCAGUGGCGAAGGCGGCCUUCUGGACUGACACUGACACUGAGGUGCGAAAGCGUGGGUAGCAAACAGGAUUAGAUACCCCGGUAGUC